ensembl:snRNA U6 U6 spliceosomal RNA
GUCUGCCUCAACAGCACAAACACUAUAAUUGGAACAAGACAAAGAAGAUGGCAUGACCCCUGAUCAAGGACGGCAUGCAAAUUUGUGAAGUAUUUCCAUUUGAU